GUUUUAACGAAAUGGUUUUAAUUUGUUAUCUGUCUUUUUUUAACGAUCUCGUGUAAUUAUAAUAAUUUAAACUAGAGUGAAUAUUUUUAAGUUAAGAUUUUUAGUUUUUCUAUGAAUCAAUGCGAGGAUAACACAAUAGACACAGAUAAAUAUGAAAAUAUCAAGAAAAUCAGCAAAUUAGUAGAGAUGAGAAAGCAGUCACUAAUGGACAUAAUUAGAAGUUCUAAAUAUAUUUUAUUGUAAUUAUAAUAGAAGCUAAUGAUAUAAUAUUGAUUUAAAUUAAUCAAAUAAAGUGGAUUUAUACUUCUUGAACUUUGGAAAUAUAAAAUCUAGUGAGCAAUACUAAGUAAUGAAAAAGAGAAGCUAAUAAGACAACUUAAAAUAU